GCCAGUUAGAGUUGGAGUAUUAGAUAUACACACAUAAGAUUUUACAUAUUAUUUCAAAUAAUGAAUAAGUAAAAAGAAAUAAAACAGAUAGAACACAGAAACUUGUUUGAAUCUAAAUAAUUCACUAUGUACCAAAAUAGAAAAUUACAAGUCAAUGUAAAUCAAAAAGAAAAUCACGUAGUUGAACUUUGAGUGAUAGAAUGGUACCAUUGUCUCCCUCGCACCAAAAUUUUCUAUUCACUCAUAUUAUUCCUCAGUUCUAUGGAAAAAUAGUCUAGUAGAGAUGGUCUAUACUAUUCUUUUUUCCCUUAAUCUUUAUCGAGGGUAUAAAUCUGUAAUCGACAAUCCAUUUCUAGACAAUGGGAGAGUUUCAAUUUUCGACUGGGAGGAUUGUGUGAUCCUAGAGUUAUGACUAACUGAAGAUGUCAUAUCUGAUACACUGUUGCUGUGCAUAAAAAAUGCUGGUUCUGAGGGCACUGGUAGAGUAAGAGAGUAGCUAUUUAGCAUGAGAACAACUGAAGCCAUGGUUGGCCUAUCAACCACAUUCUCUUGCACACAUAGCAACCCAAUGUGGAUGCAUCUCAUCAUUUCUGAACUUGAACCAUUCCUCAAACUAGGGUCUCUAAGAUUUAUGGAUGUCCCUGCCUUCCAAUUUCUCCAAGCAUAGCUCAAUAGGUCCUCUAUGCUCUCUUCAUUGCGGAAACUAUUGUUUUUUUGACCACUCACAAUCUCCAAAAGUAGCACACCAAAACUAAAUACAUCUGAU
rnacentral:misc_RNA from 1 species